AUGUAGAAAUAUUUAUAUUUAUUUUUCUUCCUUUCAGGUGCCACAGAUCCAUCACAGCAUUCUCUUUUAGAUGACUGUCAUACCACGGCACAUAGUGCUACUCUACUCUAGUGUACACAAUAUUAUCUGCAAUUUGACUAACAGGUUGCCAAUUGAGUAGGAGUGCUUGUUACAUUCUUAGUAUUAAGGAUCUUCUCCUUUUCUUUCUGGUAACCAUCGAAGAGAAAACUUUAGUUCUUCUAUCCCACUUGCUCGGGCAGCAUCCUCUUUCUUUUCUUCUUGUGGUUGUUGCAACUAUUACAUUGAAUUUGGUUGAAUUGAGUUAUCUUAUUGCAGACUUUUUCUUUGCGUGUUUCAUAUUUAUGUGGCUCAACCUAAAAUUGUCUCCGUCCAUCUUGCCUCCCAUUGACUGACAUAAAAAGCAGCCAAAACCAUUUAACAAGAGAACAUUUUGUAUGAGAUCAGAGGUGUGCUAUCAUACUAAAUGGUCAAAAAAAAAAAAAAAAGAGAGAGAAAGAAAAACCUGUAAGAUUUAAACUCCAUGCAUCCUUGGGAUUCAUACAAACUCGGAAAUUACAAUAUUUUGUUUUGAUUUCUAAAGGUUAUUUGUCCUUUUCAGGUUAGCUUGGGAGAUCCCCUUCGUCGAGGUGCUGAAGAACGUGAGCUUAAGGAAAUAAUUGGGGCAGCGAUCAAGAAGGAAAAAAGCUUCACAUGCUGGGAUGUUUGACAUUGCAAAAACGGUGAAUAGGCCAAUGAUACAUAUAGGUGGCCAAGGCCUGGCGUGUCCGCGGACCCCUUUUCUGAAUGCUAAUGUUGAAUUUUCUAUAGAUGGUACCUGUUUAGUGUUCAUCCAGAUGGAAAUGUUUCCUGCAUUAUUUAUUCAGAUCGGUCCAACUCCAUUGUCGGUGAA